rnacentral:rRNA from 1 species
GAUGAACGCUGGCGGCGUGCCUAAUACAUGCAAGUCGAGCGAACAGAUAAGGAGCUUGCUCCUUUGAAGUUAGCGGCGGACGGGUGAGUAACACGUGGGUAACCUACCUAUAAGACUGGGAUAACUUCGGGAAACCGGAGCUAAUACCGGAUAACAUUUCGAACCGCAUGGUUCUAAAGUGAAAGAUGGUUUUGCUAUCACUUAUAGAUGGACCCGCGCCGUAUUAGCUAGUUGGUAAGGUAACGGCUUACCAAGGCGACGAUACGUAGCCGACCUGAGAGGGGGAGCGGCCACACUGGAAGUGAGACAAGGUCCAGACGCCUACGGGAGGCAGCAGUAGGGAAUCUUCCGCAAUGGGCGAAAGCCUGACGGAGCAACGCCGCGUGAGUGAUGAAGGGUUUCGGCUCGUAAAACUCUGUUAUUAGGGAAGAACAAAUGUGUAAGUAACUGUGCACAUCUUGACGGUACCCAAUCAGAAAGCCACGGCUAACUACGUGCCAGCAGCCGCCGCCG